rnacentral:ncRNA from 1 species
GUAGGGGUUCUGAGAGGAAGGUCCCCCACAUUGGAACUGAGACACGGUCCAAACUCCUACGGGAGGCAGCAGUGAGGAAUAUUGGUCAAUGGACGCAAGUCUGAACCAGCCAAGUAGCGUGCAGGAUGACGGCCCUAUGGGUUGUAAACUGCUUUUAUAUGGGGAUAAAGUGGGGAACGUGUUCCCUUUUGCAGGUACCAUAUGAAUAAGGACCGGCUAAUUCCGUGCCAGCAGCCGCGGUAAUACGGAAGGUUCGGGCGUUAUCCGGAUUUAUUGGGUUUAAAGGGAGCGUAGGCCGUUUGGUAAGCGUGUUGUGAAAUGUAGGAGCUCAACUUCUAGAUUGCAGCGCGAACUGUCAGACUUGAGUGCGCACAACGUAGGCGGAAUUCAUGGUGUAGCGGUGAAAUGCUUAGAUAUCAUGAAGAACUCCGAUUGCGAAGGCAGCUUACGGGAGCGCAACUGACGCUGAAGCUCGAAGGUGCGGGUAUCGAACAGGAUUAGAUACCCUGGUAGUCCGCACAGUAAACGAUGGAUGCCCGCUGUUAGCACCUAGUGUUAGCGGCUAAGCGAAAGCAUUAAGCAUC